ensembl:lncRNA
CCACAUGCGCUCGUGCUUCCACCCCUCACGCUCCUCCUUGCUGCCAAGCACGCAGCAUUUGCAUGGCACAGACACUGCUGGGCACGCAGGGCACGCCCACCUUGCUUUUGCACGCCCACCUUGCUGUUCACACUGAUGUGCACGGCCACCACCACUCACAGACACGCAUACUGCUUGUAGGUGUCACCUUAAGCACACGCUUCCAUCCCAUUCACUCCUGCUUGGAUGCCCUCACAUCAACCGAAGCUUUUGCCCCACGAGUGCUCGGAGAUAAAUGCUGCAGGCAACACCACCACCUCUUGCACACUUCGGUACCCUUAAUUUUCUACUGCACUGUCCUUGAGUGUCUGUGCCCUCAGCUUUGUGUUCAUGGCAUCUUUCCCACAGCUUGCGACACCCAAGCAUCCGUACUCACUUGUAGCCUCCGAACCUUCAGGUCCCCUGUCCCUGCAGACUUGCCCCAGCCUUUCCCUGCUGGCAUGUCCCUGCUCGCGGGGCUGCUCCCCCCCUGCCUCUCCAAUGUUCUCUCCUCCUGGCACCUCUCCCACACCCCCCACCCUCACUCUUUGCCAUCUCUAAUCAUUUCCCGACUCCCAUUCUCGUGCCAUGAAGUUGUUGACGCCAGGCACUGGCUCUCACGCAGCCUGGCGAUGAAGCCAGUUUAUCCCAAAUGAUGAGGUUCCCCCAAUUCAUUCAAAGCCAAAUGUGUCCGUCCUGUUUUCCUGCAGAAUCACUUCCUUUCAAAAAGGGAAAUGGGAUGCCUGUGAGUGGUCCUGCAGGGAGAGGGGCAGGAGCUGGCUCCUCUGCAAGGCAUGGCUGGGGAAUGUGCUGCAAACCUGGCCUUGGCUGCGUUAUCUGAGCAGGAUCCAGCACAUCCAGCCCUCGUUGGGAGCAAAGGGACACCCUCCUUCCCCUUGCCAGCCACGAACCCGCGCAGCCUGCUGCCUGCCCAAAGGAUACGGCGAUUUAGCAAGAAGCAGGAGCAAGCCUUGUCUCGUUCCCACGGCACGAAGCCACAGCACAGUGCGCGCGUGUGAUAGGAGCCCGAGGGCACCAGCAUGGCCAGCAGCCAAGCUGACCAGCGGACAGGGGACACGUCCAACCCACAGCUGUGCCAGACCGGUGCCAAGGGCGGUCACAGCUGCAGCAGCAAUGGCCGAGACACCCGGACCUUGCAUCCCCAGCGCAGAGGGACUUUUAUCAUGGGCCAGAGGAAGCCAGGGCUGCGCAGCUCAUCAUUGCUUGGCUCGAAGCAUGGCGAAGGAGCAUCGAGUGCCAAGCACGGGAUGUGGAGAUGCAUCUUCUCAGACCAGGAUUGAGAGCAGCAAACUCUGUUCCCAUGGUUACUGAGCAGCUACCCAUCAGGCCCCAUCUCACAUCACUAACUCUGCCACUUAAUUAACUGACUGCUCGUUAUUUCCCGAAAUGAGCUCCUCCAUCCUCCUGCUUGCCUGAAAUUCAGCUCUCAGAUGCUCUCCACAGAGCAGCCCGUCUGGCUUUAGUGCCCUGCUUCAUUUAAACCUCAUCUGCCACUCAGCAAGGGUUGGAAAGGGCUGGAAACCAGCCCCGGGACCGCGGGAGGGCUCCAAGGGGAAGUUUUUCUUUGGGGACACCAGCCACUUCCAGCUAGGAUGAAGUAAAUAGGAUCACAUCGGCACAGAGCCGUGUCUGAGC